rfam:Xiphophorus maculatus strain JP 163 A Contig2265.1, whole genome shotgun sequence.
GGGGGUUCAUUAGAAGUAACGAGUUGACACAAGGUAAAUCUUAAUGUUGAGGCGCCUUUUCUCUACCGGCCCGGGGAGGAGCCCUCAUUAACUGUCGCUAACAACCCGUGUAAAUACACUGAUUGGACAGCUCCGAUACAGGCUCCCAGUCCUGCCAGGAAGUCCCCCUAAUGAGACCACACAAUAAAAACAAUAAGAGAAAAACAGAGGGAGGGAGAAAGAGGAGGGAGAGAGAGAUGUUAAAAGAAAAA